AGGGUACCAUGAUGUGUUCCCAGUGUGAUGACGUGUGAACACAGCUGGUGGUAUCUGGU
rnacentral:pre_miRNA from 1 species